GAUGAACGCUAGCUACAGGCUUAACACAUGCAAGUCGAGGGGCAGCAUGGUCUUAGCUUGCUAAGGCCGAUGGCGACCGGCGCACGGGUGAGUAACACGUAUCCAACCUGCCGUCUACUCUUGGACAGCCUUCUGAAAGGAAGAUUAAUACAAGAUGGCAUCAUGAGUCCACAUGUUCACAUGAUUAAAGGUAUUCCGGUAGACGAUGGGGAUGCGUUCCAUUAGAUAGUAGGCGGGGUAACGGCCCACCUAGUCUUCGAUGGAUAGGGGUUCCGAGAGGAAGGUCCCCCACAUUGGAACUGAGACACGGUCCAAACUCCUACGGGAGGCAGCAGUGAGGAAUAUUGGUCAAUGGGCGAGAGCCUGAACCAGCCAAGUAGCGUGAAGGAUGACUGCCCUAUGGGUUGUAAACUUCUUUUAUAAAGGAAUAAAGUCGGGUAUGGAUACCCGUUUGCAUGUACUUUAUGAAUAAGGAUCGGCUAACUCCGUGCCAGCAGCCGCGGUAAUACGGAGGAUCCGAGCGUUAUCCGGAUUUAUUGGGUUUAAAGGGAGCGUAGAUGGAUGUUUAAGUCAGUUGCGAAAGUUUGCGGCUCAACCGUAAAAUUGCAGUUGAUACUGGAUAUCUUGAGUGCAGUUGAGGCAGGCGGAAUUCGUGGUGUAGCGGUGAAAUGCUUAGAUAUCACGAAGAACUCCGAUUGCGAAGGCAGCCUGCUAAGCUGCAACUGACAUUGAGGCUCGAAAGUGUGGGUAUCAAACAGGAUUAGAUACCCUGGUAGUCCACACGGUAAACGAUGAAUACUCGCUGUUUGCGAUAUACAGCAAGCGGCCAAGCGAAAGCGUUAAGUAUUCCACCUGGGGAGUACGCCGGCAACGGUGAAACUCAAAGGAAUUGACGGGGGCCCGCACAAGCGGAGGAACAUGUGGUUUAAUUCGAUGAUACGCGAGGAACCUUACCCGGGCUUAAAUUGCAGAUGAAUUACGGUGAAAGCCGUAAGCCGCAAGGCAUCUGUGAAGGUGCUGCAUGGUUGUCGUCAGCUCGUGCCGUGAGGUGUCGGCUUAAGUGCCAUAACGAGCGCAACCCUUGUUGUCAGUUACUAACAGGUUCCGCUGAGGACUCUGACAAGACUGCCAUCGUAAGAUGUGAGGAAGGUGGGGAUGACGUCAAAUCAGCACGGCCCUUACGUCCGGGGCUACACACGUGUUACAAUGGGGGGUACAGAGGGCCGCUACCACGCGAGUGGAUGCCAAUCCCAAAAACCUCUCUCAGUUCGGACUGGAGUCUGCAACCCGACUCCACGAAGCUGGAUUCGCUAGUAAUCGCGCAUCAGCCACGGCGCGGUGAAUACGUUCCCGGGCCU
rnacentral:rRNA from 1 species